rnacentral:rRNA from 1 species
UGGGGGAUAUUGGACAAUGGGCGAAAGCCUGAUCCAGCCAUGCCGCGUGAGUGAUGAAGGCCCUAGGGUUGUAAAGCUCUUUCAGUGGGGAAGAUAAUGACGGUACCCACAGAAGAAGCCCCGGCUAACUUCGUGCCAGCAGCCGCGGUAAUACGAAGGGGGCUAGCGUUGUUCGGAUUUACUGGGCGUAAAGCGCACGUAGGCGGAUUGUUAAGUGAGGGGUGAAAUCCCAGGGCUCAACCCUGGAACUGCCUCUCAUACUGGCAAUCUCGAGUCCGGAAGAGGUGAGUGGAACUCCUAGUGUAGAGGUGGAAUUCGUAGAUAUUAGGAAGAACACCAGUGGCGAAGGCGGCUCACUGGUCCGGUACUGACGCUGAGGUGCGAAAGCGUGGGGAGCAAACA